rnacentral:lncRNA from 1 species
AUGCUGCGGGUUGAAGCUGUCUCUCGGCCCCUCCAUCUUCUUCAGUGCCCACUCCAGAGCACCUGCCACCUUGCCUCCCUUCUUGCCUGGGUCAAUACCCUCCUCCCAGACAGCCUGGCCAGCGAGUGGGCGCUGGGUAUCACCACUGGUCUUUCCAGCUCUCUGUGUGAUGGACAAGUGGGCUGCACACCUCCUGUCCCUGCUCCCACCCUGUCCCCACCCUCCUCACCCUCACUUUCAGUGCAACGGAGAGUCCCUGGUUCUCUGGGUCCCCUGGAGCCUGAAGUCACGAUGCCAAGAGUUCGUGAGGGAGGGAACUGGUUAAGGCCUGGGAGGAGCCUGGAUUCCUGUGGUGUCUCAGCCAUGAAUCUAGGAGUGAGAAAAGAAAGCUUCCCUCCCCUACAAGGUCAAGGUUCAAGUAUGGGUCCUGGCAGGACCCAUUUGGACCUGCUGGAAAACUCUCACGCUAAAAACAGGUCCUUGGUGGUGCACGCCUGGAUGCUGACCAGCCUCCUCUCUGCCUCCAGCCGUCCACACUCCUGGGUCCCUCCUGCUCUGCUAAAAGAUUUAGGACAGAUAAAAAGAAUGCAUAACAUAUAA